rnacentral:tRNA from 1 species
CAAAGAAUAGUUUAUAAAAAUAAUAAUUUUGGAAAUUAUAGAUAAAGAAAAUCUUUUUCUUUGA